rnacentral:lncRNA from 1 species
GAAGUACUCCCUCCACUCUAAAUUUUAGAAUCAAUAUUUGUUUUUUAAAAUGAACUCAAAAUAUUUCCAAACGUAAAGUUGAUAUGAAUUAAUUUAGUUUCUGACAAUAUAACGAGUUUAGAAAGCUGUCCCCAAUAUCUAUUCUCGUCUAUUGGGAGCAUAUAAUGAGUUUUCAGAUUAUUUGCAUGUUUCUAGCAAUUUAUGAAAUAAAUAGAUGAACUAAUUCAAAAUUUUAAAACUCUUUCGGUAUUAAUAGUAGCACUUAAUGCUUUUUUUUUUUUCAAAUAUGACGACCCUAUAUAUAUUUUUUUCAAACAUGGCCCUAAGUGGGGUAUUACGAACACAGGAUUCACGUAUCCACCCUUACUAGUUUGAAAUAAGGUUUAUUAAGUUGAGUUGAUUGGAGUUUUAAAACAAAUCAUAUGGAGUGAAUUUAAAAAUGUAAGGAGAAGAUGUGGACAAUGCACAUAUCUGGUCAAGAGGUGCCGAAGAAGGGUG